GAAUCUGAAUGGGCAAGAGCUGGAAUAUCCAUAUAUAAAAUCCAUAGCAGAUCAGCAACUGCAGCAUCAUGAGCACAAACAACAAUACUUUAUAUGUCAGGAGCAAAAGUGUAUCAGAAGAAACACUGUACCCUCACAGUGAAGAGGAUGGAGCUCUUCAGCAGUAUCGCGUCAGGAGAUUGUCCUGUCGCAAUCUCCAGCUUCCCCCUUUAGCCUUCAGGCAGCUGGAACAAGCGGACUGGGACAGAAAAGGUGAUUCAGAGACAGUAGCCAGACCCACCAGCCUUCCUCUGAGAUCUCUCCCACUAAUUGCUAUCACAGCUGCUGAAUCUGUCAGACCAACUGGAGUUCUCGGAAGCAGAACAUGAUUGUCAGCAUACACCAGGACAGGCACCGGUAGAUUUCUCAGACGUGGAGUGUGAGCGGAGAUGCUUUGUAGGCCUGGGAUGAAGCCAUUUAGAUACAGCUUAAAUAAAUGAGAUGCAAGAAAGCAGCCAUGCAGAACACUUCUUUGUACAGCAAGAUAAAGCACCUUGCCACACUGCCAGAAUUGUUCAAGAAUGGUUUGAGGAACAUGCCAAAGAGUGCAAGGUGUUGCCUUGGCCUCUAAAUUCCCCAGAU